rnacentral:pre_miRNA from 1 species
CCCCUAUUUAUUGGCUUCUUACCCUCUUCUUCAGCAACAUAUUUGUCUGGACAAAUAUUGUGAGAAGUUUGUUGCUGAAGAAGAGGGUAAGAAGCCAAUAAAUAGGGG